rnacentral:rRNA from 1 species
CGCAUCUGUGCAUGCAGCAUAUCAAUAAGCGGAGGAAAAGAAACUAACAAGGAUUCCCCUAGUAACGGCGAGUGAAGCGGGAAGAGCUCAAAUUUGAAAUCUUAAAGGGUUUCCCUUUACGAAUUGUAGUUUAAAGAAGUGUUUUCUGUUGAGGUUUUGGUAAAAGUUCUUUGGAAUAGGACAUCAUAGAGGGUGAGAAUCCCGUAUUUGACCUUUACUUUCAACUUUGUGAUACACUUUCAAAGAGUCGGAUUGUUUGGGAAUGCAGUCCAAAAUGGGUGGUAAAUUUCAUCUAAAGCUAAAUAUUGGCGAGAGACCGAUAGCGAACAAGUACCGUGAGGGAAAGAUGAAAAGAACUUUGAAAAGAGAGUUAAACAGUACGUGUAAUUGUCAAAAGGGAAGCGUUUGACACCAGUGUUGUUUUUCUGAAAAUCAAUUAAAGAACUGUUUAUGCUAAGCUGUUUAGACUUUAUCAGCUAAUCUGUUUAGUUUUGAGCUUUUCUUUAAUGCACUUUUCAGUUAACAAGUCAACAUCAAUUUCUUUUGCUGUAAAAAAGCUUGAGGAAGGUGGCUUGAGAUUCGUCUUAAGUGUUUAUAGCCUCUUGCCUAUGCAGUCGGAGAGAUUGAGGUCUGCAGCGUAGAUCCUUCGGGGCUAAAUGCAUUUGUGCUAAGUUAUAACAUUUCAUAGACAACUUGUUGACUAUGAUUUGUCUUGUAGCUUACUCGCUUAUGUUAUUUUACCUACGCUUAGGAUGUUGACAGCAGUAUAGACUGU